AGGACGAACGCUGGCGGCGUGCUUAACACAUGCAAGUCGAACGGAAAGGCCCUUCGGGGUACUCGAGUGGCGAACGGGUGAGUAACACGUGGGUGAUCUGCCCCGCACUUUGGGAUAAGCCUGGGAAACUGGGUCUAAUACCGAAUAGGACCAUGGCAUGCAUGUGCUGUGGUGGAAAGCUUUUGCGGUGUGGGAUGGGCCCGCGGCCUAUCAGCUUGUUGGUGGGGUUAAGGCCUACCAAGGCGACGACGGGUAGCCGGCCUGAGAGGGUGUCCGGCCACACUGGGACUGAGAUACGGCCCAGACUCCUACGGGAGGCAGCAGUGGGGAAUAUUGCACAAUGGGCGCAAGCCUGAUGCAGCGACGCCGCGUGGGGAUGACGGCCUUCGGGUUGUAACCCUUUCAGUAGGGACGAAGCGCAGUGACGGUACCUACAGAAGAAGCACCGGCCAACUACGCGCCAGCAGCCGC
rnacentral:rRNA from 1 species